CCUACGUGAGGCAGCAGUGAGGAAUAUUGGUCAAUGGGCGCGAGCCUGAACCAGCCAAGUAGCGUGAAGGAUGACUGCCCUACGGGUUGUAAACUUCUUUUAUAAAGGAAUAAAGUGAGGCACGUGUGCCUUUUUGUAUGUACUUUAUGAAUAAGGAUCGGCUAACUCCGUGCCAGCAGCCGCGGUAAUACGGAGGAUCCGAGCGUUAUCCGAAUUUAUUGGGUUUAAAGGGAGCGUAGAUGGGUUGUUAAGUCAGUUGUGAAAGUUUGCGGCUCAACCGUAAAAUUGCAAUUGAUACUGGCAGUCUUGAGUACAGUUGAGGUAGGCGGAAUUCGUGGGGUAGCGGUGAAAUGCUUAGAUAUCACGAAGAACUCCGAUUGCGAAGGCAGCUUACUAAACUGCCACUGACAUUGAUGCUCGAAAGUGUGGGUAUCAAACAGGAUUAGAUACCCGAGUAGUC
rnacentral:rRNA from 1 species